CACUGCAGCUGUAGGUAUGGGGGAAAAAAAUAGCUUCAAGGACAUUAGGAGUUGGUUGUACAUUUUUUCAGAUCAUUGAAAUGGCAAAAGGGAACACUUGGCCUGAAGAGCCUGUCCUGUAUAGCACUGAAAGCUGUGGAACAAGGUAAGUCCCCCGUGUACUGUUGACUGAGAUCUAAAUGUUUGGUGGAAUAGGCAAGGAAUGGGAAGAAGCAAAAUAAGUCAAAGCUGCCAGCUAUGUUAAGUAAAAAGGAAGCAUGUUUUCUUUGAACACUUGCAUAUUUAAAUCUGUAUAAUACAGAACCUGUACUCAUGUUUACC